GUGAUGGGGACACUGUGGCCAACAGGUUAGUCUAUCCUGUGGUCUGUGAGGAUCCCAAUGCACCAGUGCAGUGAUGGGGACACUGUGGCCAACAGGUUAGUCUAUCCUGUGGUCUGUGUGGAUCCCAAUGCACCAGUGCAGUGAUGGGGACACUGUGGCCAACAGGUUAGUCUAUCCUGUGGUCUGUGAGGAUCCCAAUGCACCAGUGCAGUGAUGGGGACACUGUGGCCAACAGGUUAGUCUAUCCUGUGGUCUGUGAGGAUCCCAAUGCACCAGUGCAGUGAUGGGGACACUGUGGCCAACAGGUUAGUCUAUCCUGUGGUCUGUGAGGAUCCCAAUGCACCAGUGCAGUGACGGGGACACUGUGGCCGACAGGUUAGUC